rnacentral:rRNA from 1 species
GCUGCAGCUUAACUGGCAGUCGAGGGGCAUUCGGGAGGGAAGCUUGCUUUCCUUGCCGGCGACCGGCGCACGGGUGAGUAACACGUAUGCAACCUGCCCUCUUCAGGGGGACAACCUUCCGAAAGGGAGGCUAAUCCCGCGUAUAUCGGUUUCGGGCAUCCGUUAUCGAGGAAAGAUUCAUCGGAAGAGGAUGGGCAUGGCGGCGCAUUAGCUAGACGGCGGGGUAACGGCCCACCGUGGCGACGAUGCGUAGGGGUUCUGAGAGGAAGGUCCCCCACACUGGUACUGAGACACGGACCAGACUCCUACGGGAGGCAGCAGUGAGGAAUAUUGGUCAAUGGGAGAGAUCCUGAACCAGCCAAGCCGCGUGAGGGAAGACGGCCCUAUGGGUUGUAAACCUCUUUGGCGGGAAAAAAAAACCCGGGACGAGUCCCGGACCGAGUGUAUCCGAAGAAAAAGCAUCGGCUAACUCCGUGCCAGCAGCCGCGGUAAUACGGAGGAUGCGAGCGUUAUCCGGAUUUAUUGGGUUUAAAGGGUGCGUAAGCGGUCCGUUAAGUCAGCGGUAAAAUUGCGGAGCUCAACCCCGUCGAGCCGUUGAAACUGCCGUACUUGAGUGGGCGAGAAUUACGCGGAAUGCGCGGUGUAGCGGUGAAAUGGCUAGAUAUCGCGCAGAACUCCCAUUGCAAGGGCGCGUAACGGCGCUAGAUUGGAGCUGAAGCAAAAAGGCGUGGGGAUCGAAAAAGGAUUAAA